UGCGCCCGCCUUAGGGUACCCCCUGUUCAAGUGGGGGAUUAGUAGGCGAUGCAGGAUGAGCCCGCGGCCUAUCAGCUUGUUGGUGAGGUAACGGCUCACCAAGGCGACGACGGGUAGCCGGCCUGAGAGGGCGACCGGCCACACUGGGACUGAGACACGGCCCAGACUCCUACGGGAGGCAGCAGUGGGGAAUAUUGCACAAUGGGCGAAAGCCUGAUGCAGCGACGCCGCGUGAGGGAUGACGGCCUUCGGGUUGUAAACCUCUUUCAGCAGGGAAGAAGCGAAAGUGACGGUACCUGCAGAAGAAGCGCCGGCUAACUACGUGCCAGCAGCCGCGGUAAUACGUAGGGCGCAAGCGUUGUCCGGAAUUAUUGGGCGUAAAGAGCUCGUAGGCGGCUUGUCACGUCGGUUGUGAAAGCCCGGGGCUUAACCCCGGGUCUGCAGUCGAUACGGGCAGGCUAGAGUUCGGUAGGGGAGAUCGGAAUUCCUGGUGUAGCGGUGAAAUGCGCAAAUAUCAAGAAGGAACACCGGUGGCGAAGGGCGGAUCUCUGGGCCGAUACUGACGCU
rnacentral:rRNA from 1 species